rnacentral:rRNA from 1 species
UACGGAGGGUGCGAGCGUUGUCCGGAAUCACUGGGCGUAAAGGGCGCGUAGGUGGCGCGGGAAGUCAACGGUGAAAGUCCGGGGCUCGAACCUCGGAUCGGCCGCGGCGACUCGUGGGCUGGAGCACUGUAGAGGCGGGUGGAAGUUCCGGGUGUAGCGGGUGGAAUGCGUAGAGAUCCGGAAGAACACCAGUGGCGAAGGCGGCCCGCGUGGGCAGUGGCUGACGCUGGAGGCGCGACAGCGUGGGGAGCAAACAGGG